GACGUAGGGCGCGAGCGUUGUUCGGAAUUACUGGGCGUAAAGGGCUCGUAGGCGGCCAACUAAGUCAGACGUGAAAUCCCUCGGCUUAACCGGGGAACUGCGUCUGAUACUGGAUGGCUAGAGUUUGGGAGAGGGAUGCGGAAUUCCAGGUGUAGCGGUGAAAUGCGUAGAUAUCUGGAGGAACACCGGUGGCGAAGGCGGCAUCCUGGACCAACACUGACGCUGAGGAGCGAAAGCCAGGGGAGCAAACGGG
rnacentral:rRNA from 1 species